CAGAUUCUUCUCGAAAGGCUUCAGAGAGAGCAUGACCCUGCAAACACCUUGCUGUCAGACUUCUGGCCUCCGUAACUGUGACGGAAUACGUUUCUGUUCUUUAAAGCCACCCAGUUUACGGUACUUUGUUACAGCAGCCCUGGAAAAUUAAUAACAGGCACUAAACCCAGAGUGGUCCAUCAGGGAAGGCUUCUUGGAAGAAGUGACGUCUAAGGACAUUUCUAGAAUCUGUUGGGGUUCCUGAGAGAGAGAGAGCACCUGCCACUGGCAUUGAAAAAGCUAAGUUUGUCCUUGUGACUAAGGUCUGGCCAAUGACAUGGAAACAGAAGUGGCAGAGACACU
rnacentral:lncRNA from 1 species